GGGUUACUAGUUUAUAUAGAACACUAUUUUGCAAAGAUGGAGGAGGCACUACUCGUAACUCU
rnacentral:tRNA from 1 species